rnacentral:rRNA from 1 species
AUUCCAGCUCCAAUAGCGUAUAUUAAUGUUGUUGCAGUUAAAAAGCCCGUAGUUGGAUUUCUGGUCGGGACGUCUGGCCGGCUCCGCAAGGGGUCGUUGCAUUGACUGUACUCGUCCAUCCUCAGGUUGACUAGCUCUGGUAUUUAUUUAUCGGUGUUAGAACGCCUGUCGUUUACUGUGAACAAAUUAGAGUGUUCAAAGCAAGGUGUACUUGAAUACAUUAGCAUGGAAUAAUAAGAUAGGACUUUGGUGGUUCUUUUUGAUAUUUUGUUGGUUUGCACGCCAAAGUAAUGAUUAAUAGGAGCAGUUGGGGGUAUUCGUAUUCAAUUGUCAGAGGUGAAAUUCUUGGAUUUAUAGAAGACGAACUACUGCGAAAGCAUUUACCAAGGAUGUUUUCAUCG